GACGGAGGGUGCAAGCGUUGUUCGGAUUUACUGGGCGUAAAGGGCGUGUAGGCGGUCGGCCAAGUCUGAUGUGAAAGCCCGGAGCUCAGCUCCGGAAGUGCGUCGGAAACUAGCCGGCUGGAGUGCGGUAGAGGAGGGUGGAAUUCCUGGUGUAGCGGUGAAAUGCGUAGAUAUCAGGAGGAACACCGGCGGCGAAGGCGGCCCUCUGGACCGUUGCUGACGCUGAGACGCGAAAGCGUGGGGAGCAAACAGG
rnacentral:rRNA from 1 species